rnacentral:misc_RNA from 1 species
GAUGAAGAACGUAGCGAAAUGCGAUAAGUAAUGUGAAUUGCAGAAUUCAGUGAAUCAUCGAAUCUUUGAACGCACAUUGCGCCCCAUGGUAUUCCGGGGGGCAUGCCUGUCCGAGCGUCAUUGCUGCCCUCAAGCACGGCUUGUGUGUUGGGCCUCCGUCCUCCUCCCGGGGGACGGGCCCGAAAGGCAGCGGCGGCACCGCGUCCGGUCCUCGAGCGUAUGGGGCUUCGUCACCCGCUCUUGUAGGCCCGGCCGGCGCUUGCCGACACAUCAAUCUUUUUUCCAGGUUGACCUCGGAUCAGGUAGGGAUACCCGCUGAACUUAAGCAUAUCAAUAAGCGGAGGA